rnacentral:rRNA from 1 species
GGAUAACAGUUAGAAAUGACUGCUAAAACCGCAUAAGCGCACAGGGCCGCAUGGCCUGGUGUGAAAAACUCCGGUGGUAUGAGAUGGACCCGCGUCUGAUUAGCUAGUUGGAGGGGUAACGGCCCACCAAGGCGACGAUCAGUAGCCGGCCUGAGAGGGUGACCGGCCACAUUGGGACUGAGACACGGCCCAAACUCCUACGGGAGGCAGCAGUGGGGAAUAUUGCACAAUGGGGGAAACCCUGAUGCAGCGACGCCGCGUGACUGAAGAAGUAUUUCGGUAUGUAAAGGUCUAUCAGCAAGGAGGAAGAAAGACGGUACUUGACUAAGAAGCCCCGGCUAACUACGUGCCAGCAGCCGCGGUAAUACGUAGGGGGCAAGCGUUAUCCGGAUUUACUGGGU